UAGGGAAUCUUCGGCAAUGGGGGGAACCCUGACCGAGCAACGCCGCGUGAGUGAAGAAGGUUUUCGGAUCGUAAAGCUCUGUUGUUAAGGAAGAACGAGUGUGAGAAUGGAAAGUUCAUACUGUGACGGUACUUAACCAGAAAGGGACGGCUAACUACGUGCCAGCAGCCGCGGUAAUACGUAGGUCCGAGCGUUGUCCGGAUUUAUUGGGCGUAAAGCGAGCGCAGGCGGUUAGAUAAGUCUGAAGUUAAAGGCAGUGGCUCAACCAUUGUAGGCUUUGGAAACUGUUUAACUUGAGUGCAGAAGGGGAGAGUGGAAUUCCAUGUGUAGCGGUGAAAUGCGUAGAUAUAUGGAGGAACACCGGUGGCGAAAGCGGCUCUCUGGUCUGUAACUGACGCUGAGGCUCGAAAGCGUGGGGAGCGAACAGG
rnacentral:rRNA from 1 species